UGUGGGAGCGGGCUUGCUCGCGAAAGCGGUGGUUCUGCAGGCAGAAUUGCUGGAUGUGCCGGCCCCUUCGCGAGCAAGCCCGCUCCCACC
rnacentral:antisense_RNA from 1 species